GACGAACGCUGGCGGCGUGCUUAACACAUGCAAGUCGAACGAUGAACUGGAGCUUGCUCCAGGGAUUAGCGGCGAACGGGUGAGUAACACGUGAGUAGCCUGCCCUUGACUCUGGGAUAAGCGCUGGAAACGGCGUCUAAUACCGGAUACGAGCUUCAGCCGCAUGGCUAGGAGUUGGAAAGAAUUUCGGUCAAGGAUAGACCCGCGGCCUACCAGCUAGUUGGGGAGGUAAUGGCUCACCAAGGCGACGACGGGUAGCCGGCCUGAGAGGGUGACCGGCCACACUGGGACUGAGACACGGCCCAGACUCCUACGGGAGGCAGCAGUGGGGAAUAUUGCACAAUGGGCGCAAGUCUGAUGCAGCAACGCCGCGUGAGGGAUGACGGCCUUCGGGUUGUAAACCUCUUUUAGUAGGGAAGAAGCGAAAGUGACGGUACCUGCAGAAAAAGCACCGGCUAACUACGUGCCAGCCGCCGCUGUAA
rnacentral:rRNA from 1 species